UUUGUACUCCCUCCGUCCCAAAAUUCUUGUCUUAAAUUUGUCUAAAUACGGAUGUAUCUAGUUACAUUUUAGUGUUAGAUACAUCCGUAUCUAAACAAAUGUAAGACAAGAAUUUUGGGACGGAGGGAAUACUNU
rnacentral:pre_miRNA from 1 species